GUCUUUUUGAUGAUAAUUUAAAGUCGAAUCUGCCCACUGAUUAAUAAAUUAAAGGGCUGCAGUAUAUUGACUGUACAAAGGUAGCAUAAUAAUUAGUCUUUUAAUUGAAGACUUGUAUGAAAGAUUUGAUGAGAUAUAAACUGUCUCUUUUUUAAAAUUAAAAUUUAAUUUUUUAGUAAAAAAGCUAAAAUAAAUUUAAAAGACGAGAAGACCCUAUAGAGUUUUAUAAUUGAAUUAAUUAAAAAUUUAUUUUUAAUUUAAAAAAUAAUUAGUUUAAUUAUUUUAUUGGGGUGAUAAAAAAAUUAAAAUAACUUUUUUUUUUAUUUUAAACAUUAAUUAAUGAAUAAUUGAUCCAUAAUUUAUGAUUACAAGAAAAAAUUACCUUAGGGAUAACAGCGUAAUUUUUUUUUUUAGUUCUUAUAAGAAAAAAAGUUUGCGACCUCGAUGUUGGAUUAAGAUAAAAUUUAAAUGUAGAAGUUUAAAGUUUUGAUCUGUUCGAUCAUUAAAAUCUUACA
rnacentral:rRNA from 1 species